rnacentral:tmRNA from 1 species
GGGGGCGCACUGGUUUCGACGGGGAUAGUUGAAGCCAAGGCUGCAGGUCGAGGUUGGUCGAUGGCCUCGUAAAAAUCGACCACAAGAUAAUUGCAAACGACAAUUACGACUACGCAAUGGCUGCUUAAUUGCAGAAUUGCUACUGACACCCAGGUGUCACGAUUCUACUGCCGACGCCUUAUGAGCGGAUAGAAUCGACAAACUAUAGGGCUAGCAUCACAAUUGGGUUUCUUCGGUUGCGAUGCGAAAUAAUAGGAGGACUAGUCUGACGGCCGUUUGGUCCGGUGCAAUCCGUCAGGCGAAUCUUUAUUCCGGACCUAAACCUGUAGACGCUUUGAGUUGAUCGUUCUCGGACGCGGGUUCGACUCCCGCCGCCUCCACCA